GCAAACUUGGUCAUUUAGAGGAAGUAAAAGUCGUAACAAGGUCUCCGUAGGUGAACCUGCGGAGGGAUCAUUAUUGAAUUUUAUCAAAGAAAAAUGUUGUGCUUUCUCUUGAAAGGGGGAAUAGUGCAAUGUUUUUCUUUUCCAAACAAACGAUCACAACUAGCAAGAAAAUUGACUUGGAUGAUUUGGAAACAAACAAGUGUUUGCCUGAUAAUCAAGAUGAUUUGGAUUGGAGAAAGAAAUACAACUUUCAACAACGGAUCUCUUGGCUCUCACAUCGAUGAAGAACGCAGC
rnacentral:misc_RNA from 1 species